GCCGGGCGUGGUGGCGGGCGCCUGUAAUCCCAGCUACUCUGGAGGCUGAGGCAGAGAAUCGCUUGAACCCGGGAGGUGGAAGGAUGCAGUGAGCCGAGAUCAUGCCACUGCACUCCAGCCUGGGUGACAGAGCGAGACUCUGUCUCAA
rnacentral:SRP_RNA from 1 species